CAUAGUUUGCUUUCCAGUGUAGUUAUUUUUCCGCCUAGAUCUAUCUGAGUAUUUGCUCCGUCGAGUUUCAGGGGAGCCAUGUUGCGGUAGGGUUGCACCUGAGCCAUCGUGCGGCCGCCGGAGACUUGUCAAAGCUUUAGGUUUAGGAUAGGUUUUUGUGGAGGUGGUGGUGACAGAUGUGAUGGCGGUGGCUCCAUUUAUAGACUCGGAAACGAUGCUUAUGAUGAUGAUGGAAAAUGCCCUUCAACCUUCUUGGAGCUAGAGGAAUAGGAAUCUAGGGUUUCUGGCAGAGGAAGACAUCUCUGAAAAUUGACGUUGAUAUUAUCCAUUUUGUUUGUAGGCGUAGGAGAUAAGGAAAAAAAAAUUAAAUUAAAAUUUCUAAAUAGUUCGGAAAAAAAAAAUGUUAACUAACCGAUUUAACUUUAAUUUUUAAAACCUGAUAGUAGAAAAUAGAAUAAUAAUAACUUAUUAUAAAUGUUUCCUUCUCAAAAAUAUUUCUUUUUAAGACAAAAAUUUGAAAUGGAAAGUUUUUAUUUUACCUACCAAUUAACAUCAAAUAAUCACCAAAAUUGGAAUCACUAAUAACAUUAGAAUUAUAGCAAAACCAUUAAAUAUUUCUUUUAAUUUUAUUUUAAAAUAAAAUUAAAAUAUUAAAUACAUUUAGUAAUUGAAUAAAUAUUUAUUUUCUACUUUAAAAUGGAAAAUAUAAAAUAAUAUUUUGUACCUAAUUAUUAUCCUUUUGGAAGAAAUGAGGGAAUACAUUGUUAACAUUUGGACUAACAAUGGUGGGACUCCAAGAUAUUCUAUCAUAUGAAGGAAUAAAUAGAAAAAUUAUCGAUUUAGAAUCUUACAUCUUUGUCUUUCUUUUUCAUGAUUGACAUUAUUGAACGAUAUAAUAAAUAGAAAAAUUAUCGGUUUAGAAUCUUAUAUCUUAGCCUUUUCUUUUUAGGAUUGACAUUAUUGAACGAUAGAAUCAUUUGAUCAUGAUAGAUGUUGAAUAGUGGAAUCAAUUAUCCAUUUUUAUUCUCUUUAUGUGGGAGACAUGGUCAAUUAUCAAUUUUUGUUUUUAUACUUAUGUAAAGGUUAUUUUUUAUUUUAAAAGGUAUUAAAAGAAAGGAAUGAGUUUGAAGUAGCAUAUAAAAAUAAUUUAUUAAUUUUAAUUUUUUUUAUUAUUAUUAUUUUUCUUUUCAUUUUUCCUCAAAUUGUUUGAAAACUAAAUAUAGCUUUAAGAAUUAUUAGUUCCUAAUCCCAUUAAAUUUUUAUAUUUUUUAUUAAUUAAUUUAGAAUAAUAGAGUUUUUUUUCCAAUUAAUGUAAAACACUUGAAUCAAUUCUUCUUAACUUGCUAUAAUGUGGAGAAGGUCAAAUUAUGGAGUAAAUACCCUUCGAAGAGGCAUUGAUACCACCCUUCAUAUAAUAGAAUUCCCUUGUCCCCUUACCCUGAUCAUUUUGUACUUUGGAGCAUUCCUGGGGCAUUUUUAUUUUUUAAUGCAUUUGAUUUUAUUUAUCAAAAAAAAAAAAAUGGAGUUCCUUUGUCAUCUUAAAUUGUUCCACCCUCAUGAUCUAAUUCGUAUGCUUUUCGAAACAGUAAGAACUCCCUAAUGCAAUUUUUUUUUAUAUGCAUCAUAAUUCGUUUUUAAGUAACUCUAAACCUCCAAAUUUGAUAUGUAAUCCUUUUUUAUUUAGAGCGCAUUUGGUAGUUUUUUUUCUUCAAAAAUAAUUUUUAAAAGUGUUUUUAGGAGAAUCAUUUAUCACUUUUUAUCUUAAAAGUGUGAUUUUUGAAUUUUUAAAAAAUGUUUUUAAAAUUUUAUUAAAUAUUUUAAUUAUUUUUCUUCAUAAAUAGUUUUGAGGUUAAAAAUACUGUGAAAUAGACUCUUAUUGGAAUUUAUUUUUGUUCAAUCAUGUACUAUCAAAAUUUUCUAUUAAUUUUAUCUAUAUAUUUUUGUUAGUUUAUAGUCCUUCAUCAUAUAUAUAUAUAUAUAUAUAUGAAGAGAACUUGAUAAAUUUGUCUUAAUUAACAUCAUUUUCUUACUUUGGAUAAUAUAUUACAACAAUGACCCUCAGUUGGUUUGAUUGGUUGCACCAAGUGGCUCAAGUGGUGGCUUGAUGUCAGCCCCUUAGAGCCUUGACUUAACCAUGGAGGAAUAGGCCUCAUGGGUAGGCCUUGCACCCAUGAGAGCCUAGGAUGAAAGCAGGGAAAUCCUGGAGGUUUGGUGGUUCAAACUCCAGGAGCCAUGUGAGAAGGUCGCGGGCGAGCCAGACACAUGCCUCGCGCGCACCAUGGGCAAGUCAGAUGUGCACCGCGGGCGAGCCAGACGCGCACCGCAGGCGAUCCAGACGCGCAUCGCAGGCGAGCCAGACGCGCACCGCACGCGCACCACGGGUGAGCCAAACAGGCACCGUGGGCAAGCCAGACACACACCGUGGGCGAGCCAGACAUGCACCGCAUGCGCACCAGAUGGGGAUCGCGUGCACACCUGACUUAGGUGGUGUAAAUGAAGGCUGAGGGACUUGGAAUUUUAAUUUAUAAUUAAAAUUAUUAUUCCAUUAUGUCUCCUCAGAUAUAUUGAUGUCUCCUCAAGAAACAAUGAAAACGGCAUGUAUUGCUCUUUAAGGGGGAGUAGGUGACUCAAAGAAGGGAGCCACCAAGAGAAGCCUUGACCGCACCAAGGGGGCACCAUGGCACGGCCUUGGGCAUGCCUAAGACACACGACACGACUCGAGCACACACACAUGGGCUCCACGACAUGUGUGGUGUGCACCUCGUGGCCGCAACGACACGGGGCAUGAUGUGGCCUACCCCCUCCUCGCACAGGCACGAGGGCGCUUAAGCCUUGUGCGGUGAGCCAGCUGAUGAAACCAUGGGUGCAAUGCCAUGGUCUGAUGGCUCCAAUAGAUGACUCGCACCAAGUUGCCUACGCACAAUACAGGGGCGCCAUGUCCUGUGCACCAAGAAGGAUUGGCCAUAGGUGCAAUGCCAUGGCUCGUUGUUGGGAAGCUGGGAAGCAAGCAACAAGCCCAAGCCAUGGGCACCUAGACAUGGCACGGGCUCACACAUCAGUGUGGGGAAGGCACACUGAUGCACCAGAUGCUUGGUCAGAUGGCUGAGGCAUGCUGCCUGACUCAGAGGGUCUUGAUCAAAGACAUGCUGAUGGGCACCCGAUCACAAGAGGCACCUUACGGGGGAGGGGUCGGCUUGUUAGGGGGACUCACUAGCAGCUUAACGAGCAGGACCUGAGGAGAUGACAGUGCAACUAGCUAGUGGCAGCUAGCUCAGUGACCAAGUCAAGUCGUCAUUUGACCUGCAGUUGGCUGAGGAAUGAUGGCUGGUGCAAGUGGGUGGCAGGAGCAGACCACUAUCUGGGUGGUGGGUGGUUUUGCAAGGCAGUUGAGGGCGGUUCAGGCCAGUUGCAUAAACCACCUAGUUGGCUCCAAGAUUUGAAUUAGGAAAUUCAAAUUUGUAAUUACAACUUGAGUCUUUUAAAAGGGCUCCUGCAGCCUUGAAACAGAGACAGAGUUUGGGGAAAAGGUUCCUUCUCGUAUGCCUUGGGUGAGAGCAUUGUACUCUAGUUCAGGAAGCAAUUUUGUCUUGUAAGAGUGAUUAAUACAAGUUGGGAAAGGAUUCCCGUAACCUCGUGUGUCCAUGUUGCUUUGUUAUUUCUGUGUUCUACUCUGUUCUUCUAAACGCUGGGAAGGGAAGGUUGACUAAGGAAGGGUCCUUAGCACCGCACACUCGUGAAAAAUUAAGUGUGAUAAUCAGGGGUGUGACACUUGACCAAUUGAAGCUUUACCUCAACUGAUUACCAUUCUUUGGAGCACCUCUCAAGGCCAUCUCAAUUGGUCGCACCUAUUAGUUGAUGCAUCCCCUCAAUUCUGAAAAAAUAUGUAGUAUUGGUUUUUCCGACUUGGGAUGAAGGAAAAACAACCGACUAUAUACCUCCAACAAAAUUUGAAAAACUUUUAAGAUGAUCUUGAAGAAUUUAAGAUUAGGUUUUUCAUUCAAAAAAAAUUUCAUCCCAAUUUAUAAAAAUUGUAGUGGAUGAGAAUGACAAUGAAUCGCAAUAUACUACAUGAAAAAGGGGGAUCAAAAUCUUAACAAGAGAGUAAAAUUUAGUUUUUCUUACUAAUAAACUUUUGUUUAUAUUUUCUUUCUAAAACACGAUCUCAUACUCUAGUAUUAAAAAAUGGAAUGAAUUUUUCAUUCCCCCUUCUCUUCCAUAUUCCAAACAUGUCGUUGGUUAAAUGAAAAGGAUAUUUUAUUUUAUGAUUCUUAUCAUAAUAGACUCAUAAAGGAAAAAUAGCAUGUUGUAUUGAUUUAAAUAUUUUUAAAUUUUUUAUUAAGAUAAGUAACCUUUGUUUUUUAACAACCUGUUAAUUUUAAAUUUUGUAGAUUUUGCACGUGAUUAAUCUCUUUCAAAGCUUUAAAUUCACUUUUAUAGGGGGGAUAUUGAAGUUAGACUAUUCUAAUAACUUUAUAAAUUUUUUAUGAUUUUUGACUUAUUAGUUUAAUAAUUCAAUAUAAAUAAUUAAUAUUUUAAGACUCCCUAACUGUAUAUAGUUUUAUAAUGUACAGAAUGAAUUAACUUUUUGAUCAAUGUAUAGGAUUUGAAGACUCAAUAAUUAUUUCUGAUUUGAUAGCACCCUUAAUGGAUUGAUUUUUUGGUAGGUGCAUAGAAACAUAGUCUAUGGAACAAAAUUAAAACUUAGAGAUUGAUACAGAUUUAUUUAUUUAUUUAUUUAUUUAUUUAAAAAGCUGAUAUUACAGCAUCCAGGCCUCGUCAAUCUCCUUAUACCAUAGGUGGAGUUAUUUUUAACAUAAAUUAAGGAGUAGUUUAUUUAUUUAUGGUAAACGAGGCCUAAGAUGGGUGCCGGCUCUCACACGUUAAGCGCGCGGCUCUAUUUCCGGGCUCAGAGGAAUGAAGUACAAGAGCACCAGAGGAAGCUUCAUCUGGGUCAAAUCCGAAGGAAGAUUCAUCUUCUUCCAAUCCAGAGGACAAUCGUACUUCUCCCAAACCCAUGCCUCGUAGGUGCCCGGGACGCCGUUGUCUGUGGCUACAAGAUGGAUUUUGUGAAGGAUGCCGAGUUUUCCGAGGAGGCGCUGAUACCAUCCUUCAUACGUGUUAACGAACUCCAGGCUGGAGCGCGUUCUCACGUUGUGCUCCAUCACGGAGUACGCUCCCAAGAUUUGCAGUUGAAUUACGUUGUGGUUCGGAAUCCAUUUUUGGCUUUGCACUGUGGUUAUGUUUCCGCCUAGAUCUAUCUGAGUAUUUGCUCCGUCGAGUUUCAGGGGAGCCAUGUUGCGGCAGGGUUGCACCUGAGCCAUCGUGCGACCGCCGGAGACUUGUCAAAGCUUUAGGUUUAGGAUAGGUUUUUGUGGAGGUGGUGGUGGCAGAUGUGGUGGCGGUGGCCCCAUUUAUAGACUCGGAAAUGAUGCCCAUGCUGAUGAUGGGAAAUGCCCUUCAACCUUCUUGGAGCUAGAGGAAUAGGAAUCUAGGGUUUCUGGCAGAGGAAGACAUCUCUGAAAAUUGACGUUGAUAUUAUCCAUUUUGCAUUUGUAGGCAUAGGAGAUAAGGAAUAAAUAAAUAAAUUAAAAUUUCUAAAUAGUUCGGAAAAAAAAAAUGUUAACUAACACGAUUUUACUUUAAUUUUUUAACCUUGAUAGUAGAAAAUAGAAUAAUAAUAACUUAUUAUACAUGUUUCCUUCUCAAAAAUAUUUCUUUUUAAGACAAAAUUUUGAAAUGGAAAGUUUUUAUUUUACCAGCCAAUUAACAUCAAAUAAUCACCAAAAUUGGAAUCACUAAUAACAUUAAGAGUAUAGCAAAACCAUUAAAUAUUUCUUUUAAUUUUGUUUUAAAAUAAAAUUAAAAUAUUGAGUACAUUUAGUAAUUGAAUAAAUAUUUAUUUCCUACUUUAAAAUGAAAAAUAUAAAACAAUAUGUGUACCUAAUUAUUAUCCUUUUGGAAGAAAUGAGGGAAUACAUUGUUAAUAUUUGGACUAGGAUCUGUGGGGCUCCAAGAUAUUCUAUCACAUGAAGGAAUAAAUAGAAAAAUUAUCGGUUUAGAAUUUUACAUCUUUGCCUUUCUUUUUCAAGAUUGACAUUAUUGAAUGGCAAAAUCAUUUGUUGGUGAUGGAUGUUGAAUAGUGGAAUCAAUUAUCCAUCUUUAUUCUCUUUAUGUAGGAGACAUGAUCAAUUAUCAAUUUUUUGGUUUUAUACUUAUGUAAAGGUUAUCUUUGAUUUUAAAAGGUAUUAAAAGAAACGAAUGAGUUUAAAGUACCAUAUAAAAAUCAUUUAUUAAUUUUAUUUUUUUUUAUUUUUUUUUUCUUUUCAUUUUUCCUCAAAUUGUUUGAAAACUAAAUAUAGCUUUAAGAAUUAUUAGUUCCCAAUCCCAUUAAAUUUUUAUAUUUUUAUUAAUUAAUUUAGAAUAAUAGAGUUUUUUUUCCAAUUAAUGUAAAACACUUGAAUCAAUUCUUCUUAACUUGCUAUAAUGUGGAGAAGGUUAAAUUAUGGGGUAAAUACCCUUCGAUGAGGCAGUGAUACCACCCUUCAUAUAGUAGAAUUCCCUUGCCCCCAUUACCUUGAUAAUUUACCCUUUAAAGAGGCGUUAAUACUACCCUUCAUAUAAUAGAAUUCCCUUGUCCCCAAUACCCCUCAAUUAUUUUGUACUCCGGGUGUCUUUAUGCCAUUUUUAUUUUUUAAUGCAUUUGGUUUUAUUUAUCAAAUAUAUAUAGAUAGAGAGAGAGAGUUCUAAUCUCAUUAAAUUUUCAUAUUUUUUAUUAAUUAAUAUAGAAGAAUAGAGUUUUUUGUCUUAUUAAUAUAAAACACCCAAAUCAAUUCUUCUCACUUUGCUAUGAUAGGGAGAAGAUUAAAUUAUGGUAUAAAUAGCAUUUGAAGAGGCAUUGAUACCACCUUUCAUUUAAUAGAAUUCCCUUGUCCCUAUUACCCCUCAAUUAUUUUGUACUCAGUGUGUCUUUAUGAUAUUUUUAUUUUUUAAUGCAUUUGGUUUUAUUUAUCAAAUAUAUAUAGAGAGAGAGCUUUAUAUGCAUCAUAAUUCAUUUUUGGGAGAAUCAUUUAUCUAGAAAGUAUUAAGUGAUUUUUGAAUUUUUUUUUUUAAAUGUUUUCUAAAUUUUAUCAAAUAUUUUAUUUUUCUUCAUAAAUAGUUUUUAGGUUAAAAUUUUUUUUUUUAAAAUAUUGUCAAAUACACUCAUAUUGAAAUCUAUCUUUGUUCUUCAAGUAUGAUGAGAAUUUUCUAUUAAUUUUUUCUAUAUGUUUUUGCUAGUUUACAAUCCUUCAUCAUAUAUAUGAAAAGAACUUGAUAAAUUCACCUUAAUUAACAUCAUUUUUCCUGCUUUUGGUAAUAACGGCCCUUUUCAAGUAGCUAAGGUUGUGUUUGGUUUGAAAAAUAUUUUUUAUUGAUUACCAACAUUUUUUUAUUUUUACAAAAUAAAAUUAAAACUAUUAGCUAUAUUCAAUAAUGAGGAAAAAUGUAUUUAUUAUUUUUCAAUAAGGGACUUUUUUUUCCUCAAAAUUUCAUGGGGCUUAAUUUGCUCCCCACCGAACAAUGAUAUUGUUAUUUGGAUGAGAUUCACACGUGUUUAAGUUGGUUUGCAAUUCAAGGAUAUUAAAGUUUAGGAGGUGUUUAAAAAAAUUAAAAUUUAAAUAUUGAAAAAAAAAAAAUCAGUGAUGAAUGAUAAGUGAGUGUUGAACUAAUAGAAGUGAAAGUAUUUGAUAAUAUUUAAGGUUGAAAUAAUAAGGUUACAUUUGGUUAAAAAAAAUUGAUAAAAAAAAAAAAAAUAUAUAUAUAUAUAUAUAUAUAUAUAUAUCUCAUAUCUUAAUAUGAGAUUAGCAUAUCUAUGUAAAAAUGAUAAAUAAAAGCAGAUAGAUAAUAUAUUUCAUGUUUGGUUAAACAUAGGAUAGUAUAAGUGAUGAGAUAAUUUAUUUUAUCCCAUCACUUAUCAAACAUAGGAUAAGAUAUAAUAUCCUCUCUUUUAUCUUAUCUCAUAUUAUUUUCAAACAACUAAAUAUGACCUAAAUGAUUCAUUUUUGUGAGAUUUAAAUUUAACUUUAUAUUUAUCACAUGAAUUUUUAUUUUUUUUUAUGAAAUGAGACUACAAAGUAUAAUUAAUAUAAAUUUGAUUUAAAGAUGAGUUACAAUAAUCUUCAAAACUAAACUUUAUAGCAUCUUUAGGAAAAUUUGACCAUAUUCUAUUCGCUUACCUAUUUGAAAAUUGGAUUUGUUGAAUUUCUUUGAUUAAUGAAAGAUUCAAAUUAAGUUUUGAUGGUUUAAGGAUAAAGAAUAAAAGUAAUUCACAAUGGGUUAUUAGAGAAUCUAAUGGUACUAUAGAAAUAGUUACAAGUAGACAUAUAGGUAAUGUUUCAAUAAUUAUUGCAAAAUAUAUGACUUUAAGAAAUGAUAUGUUAGCUAACAAGAAUAUUGGGUUCUUAAACUUAGAGAUCGAGGGUGACUAAGAAAUAGUCAUAGAUNNNNNNNNNNNNNNNNNNNNNNNNNNNNNNNNNNNNNNNNNNNNNNNNNNNNNNNNNNNNNNNNNNNNNNNNNNNNNNNNNNNNNNNNNNNNNNNNNNNNGACUUUAAGAAAUGAUAUGUAGCUACAGAUAUGGGUCUAAACUUAGAGAUCGAGGGGUGACUAAGAAUAGUCAUAGAUUGAUAUAAAUUCCUAGUCUUUUAUGUUUUAAUAAAAGAUAUUUGAAAGUUAUCUCAAGAUCUAAAUAUUUAAGAUUGUCGAUUUGAGGGAUAUUAUGUCCCUCGGUUUGAAAAUAGGGGUUAAUCAUAUAAUCCUGAAGAUUUUAGAAGUUUAAGGUAACUUUCUCAAUGAUGAGAAAGGGAUUAGGAUGGAUCUUCUUAAAAAAAUACCUUAUUUCUAUGAAUUCAUACAUCCCACAAAAUAAUGGAAAUUUUUUUCAUAAGAUGCUGAAAAAUUUUGAAGUUAAUUUUAUGGUUUUUAUACACCGUUUCAAGCCAACCAUAUGAUAUCUUUGAAAGUUUAUGUAUUAGAUAUAAUAUUUCGAAGAAAUAAAAAUAUAUCAUUUAAGUAAAAGUAAGUCUUUAUUUAAUAAUACAAUUUCGCAUAUUAAGGUUAAAACUGUAAAUAAAAAAAAAUUGCUAGUUUUUAUUCUAUAGAAAUUUAAGAACUAUUUUUUAACCAUCAUUUACUUCAAAAGUAGUUAUAUAUAGAAAAACAUUGAUAUCAAAUAUUAAUUAAAUUUUGUUUUAGCUUCAAAAUCUAAAUUAUAAGAAUAAAAUUAAUAAAAUAAAUUUCUUUAUAAUUCUAGUUUUAUUUUAUAUAUUCAAUAUACUUCCCAUAAAUCCACCAUCGUCUUACUAUGUUUUAAUCUUAAUUAAUUAUAACUAAUAAAUAAAUUUAAGCAUAAUUUAACAUUAUUCUAAAAAUAUGUCAUAAAUAGUAAAUAAUAAUUUUAAAAACAGUGAAUUAUUUAUAAAGGGUAAACACUAUCAACUUUUCUUUCAUGACUGGUGGAAUAUUCUUUAGCAACAACUCUAAUUAAUGUGGUUACAUCUACAAUAAAACCAAAUAAUCACGAUUCUAACUAAAAAGUUUCUACAUGAAUAGUAAUUAGGUAGAAAUUGAGGAACUUCCAACUCUAAAACUCAAAAUAUUUAGCAACAACUAGUUAGAUUUUAUGAAAGUUCCAAGACAUAAAAAAUUUAAAUUUUAUGAAGUCAAGCUAAUCCCCAACCUCCGUUAAUCACUUGUGAGAGAGGGUGAAUUAAGUGAUGAUUAAUUUAUGUGCAACAAUAAAUAAUUAAAUAGAUAAUGGAAUAAAAAGAGGUAGGAGAUGAGAAGCAAACUUCAAUUUUUAUAAUGGUUCAACCCAAUCUCGAUCUAUGCUCAUUCCAAUCAAGUUUCAACCCUAAGCCAAGGAUCCCAUUAAACCAUUGCUUCAACCAAGCCUUGAAUUGCUUUUAAUUGGAUUGUUGGUUCAAAUGGAUAUUCUACAAAGCUCCUCAAGUGAUUAUUUAUACUUGAAUUCUUUUGUCCCAAUACUUUAUAACUGAAUAAAGGUGAACAACUCUAGUUUAUAAAUUUAUGUUCUAGGAAUACAAUAAUAAACUAUGAUUGAAGAUAUUGUAUUAAAGGAUUGCAAAUUUUGCUUAAAUACAUUCAAGGAUAAUAGUAAGCUUGUUGGAGAAAACAAUAUACUCUCUCAAUGAUGAAUGUGUAAAUGAAGUCUUAUAUAUAUGAAUUGGUAACUCAAAUUAGACGUUAGGUACAAAAGAUUACCUCAACUAGUUGAACAUAGUGAUUAACUGACCAAUUAGUCAUUAAAGCUCAUAAAAGUACUACAACAAUGACUAUUAGUCAUAGUUGGUUUGAUUGGUCUCACCAAGUGGCUCAAUUAGUGGCUUGACCAAUUGAGGCUCUACUUGAACCAAUGACCAAUUUCUAGAGCACUUCUCAAAGCCUCCAAAGUCACCUCAUUAGUCGCACCUAUUAGUUGAUCGAUCUCCCUCAAUUCUGUAAAAUUUGAAUAACUUUUGAAAUGAUUUUGAAAGUAUUUCAUUCAAAAGAAUUUUCACCCCAAUUUAUAAAAAUUGUAGCAGAUGAGAAUGACAAUGAUCCACAAUCUACUACAAUGAAAAGGGAAUCAAAAUCUUAACAAGAGUAAAAUUUGGUUUUUCAUAAGAAUGAACUUUUGUUUAUAUAUUCUUUCUACUACUACAGUAGUAAAAAAAUGGAAUGAAUUUUUCAUUCCCGCUUGCUCUUCUAUAUUCCAAAUAUGUCGGUUAAAUGAACUAGGAUGUUUUUAUUUUAUGAUUCUCAUUGUAAUAGACUCAUAAAGGAAAAAUAAUUUAAAUAUUCUUUAGUUUUUUAUUAAGAUAAGUAACUUUUGUUUUUUAACUACCUCCUUAAUUUUAAAUUUUGUAGAUUUUGCACAUGAUUAAUCUCUUUCAAAGCUUUAAAUUCAGGGGAUCGAUGAAGUUAUACUAUUCUAAUAGUUGUAUAAAUUAAAUAUAAAUAUGGUGCUAACAAUCUACUGAGUUUCGAAUUUUUUUUAUGAUUUUCGAUUUUAUUAGUUUAAUAAUUCAAUAUAAAUAAUUAACAGGUGGAAUACUUCAAGAAAUUAGUUCCCGAGUAUAAGUGUGUUCAAGUCUUUUACAAAAUAGUGUAGAGAAAAACAAAUUAUUACAUCUCUUUAUACCUAUCUAUUUUAAUAAGGUGGAUAAAGAAAGAUACCAAAAAAAUUAAAAAGUACCUUAGAUUUUUAUUCACGGUUGACAUAUAAAUAUAAAUGGAUAGAAAGUGCCUUCAAACGAAUAUUUAUGUGAUGAAUAUAUUAGACUAUAAAGAAAAGAAAGGUCUGGUAUGGAGAUAUGUUGGGAAAAUGGAAGAAUAUUUUAUGACUCCUUGAUUGUAUAUAGUUUUAUAAUGUACAUAGUGAAUUCAUUAUUUGAUCCAUGUAUAAGAUUUUUUUAAGACUCAAUAAUUAUUUAUGAUUUUAUUGCAUCCAUAAUGAAAUGAUUUUUCUGGUAGAUGUAUAUAAUCAUAGUCUAUGGAACAAAAUUAAAACUUCGUGCAACUUCUUCAACCACAACUUAGAGAUUGGUAUAGAUUUAUUUAUUUAAAAAGCUGAUAGUACAACAUCCAUGCCUCCGUCAAUCUCCUUACAUGACUUAUUUUUAGCAUAACUACUUAAGGAGUAGUUUAUUUAUUUAUGGUAAACGAGGCCUAAGAUGGGUGUCGGCUCUCACACCUUAAGCGCGCGGCUCUAUUUCCGGGCACAGAUAGGGAUGGCAACGGGGCGGGUUCGGGGCGGGGCGCCCCCCUCCCAACCCCGCCCCGUUUAUUUAAACCAAUUCCCAUCCCCGUCCCAUUUAAAAAAUUAAACGGGGCGGGGCGGGGCGGGGCGGGGCGGGGCGGGUAUGCUACAUUCCCAUACCCGUCCCGUUUAACUUUUUAUUUAAUUUUAAUUUUAAUUUUUUUAAAAAAUUACUUUUAAAUUUUUUUAAUUAUAUUAAAAUAAAUAUAUUUUAUAAAUAAUUAAAUAAUUAUAUUUUUUAUAACUUAUUUUAUUAAAAAUAAUUUUUUAUUAUCUAUAUAUUAAAAAUAAUAAAAUAAAAAUUAAAUUAAUUUAAUUUUAAAUUUUAAAUUAAAUUUAAUUUUAAUUUUAAUUUUAUAUAUAAUCGGGGCGGGGUGGGGCAAUACCCGAACCCGCCCCGGGUUUCAAAAAAAAUCUCAAACCCGUCCUAUACCCGUUUAGAAAAAUAAUAUCCCACCCCAUUAGGGGCGGGGCGGGGCGGGUACCCGAAAUGACCCGCCCCAUUGCCAUCCCUAGGCACAGACGAAUGAAGUACACGAGCUCCAGAUGAAGAUUCAUCUGGUCCUCGUCCAGAGGAAGAUUCAUCUUCUUCCAAUCCAGAGGACAAUUCUUCUCCCAGACACAUGCUUCGUAGUUGCCCGGGACGCCUUUGUCUGUGGCUACAAGAUGGAGUUUGUGAAGGAUGCCUUGGUCUUCGGGGAGGCGCUGAUACCACCCUUCAUACGUGUUAACGAAUUUCAGGCAGGAGCCCGUCCUACUGUUGUNNNNNNNNNNNNNNNNNNNNNNNNNNNNNNNNNNNNNNNNNNNNNNNNNNNNNNNNNNNNNNNNNNNNNNNNNNNNNNNNNNNNNNNNNNNNNNNNNNNNAGUGAAUUCAUUUUUUGAUCCAUGUAUAGGAUUUUUUUUAAGACUCAAUAAUUAUUUAUGAUUUUAUUGCAUCCAUAAUGAAAUGAUAUAAUCAUAGUCUAUGGAACAAAAGUAAAACUUCGUGCAACUUCUUCAACCACAACUUAGAGAUUGGUAUAGAUUUAUUUAUUUAAAAAGCUGAUAUUACAACAUCCAUGCCUCCGUCAAUCUCCUUACAUGACUUAUUUUUAGCAUAAGUACUUAAGGAGUAGUUUAUUUAUUUAUGGUAAACGAGGCCUAAGAUGGGUGUCGGCUCUCACACCUUAAACGCGCGGCUCUAUUUCCGGGCACAGACGAAUGAAGUACACGAGCUCCAGAUGAAGAUUCAUCUGGUCCUCGUCCAGAGGAAGAUUCAUCUUCUUCCAAUCCAGAGGACAAUUCUUCUCCCAGACACAUGCUUCGUAGUUGCCCGGGACGCCUUUGUCUGUGGCUACAAGAUGGAGUUUGUGAAGGAUGCCUUGGUCUUCGGGGAGGCGCUGAUACCACCCUUCAUACGUGUUAACGAAUUUCAGGCAGGAGCCCGUCCUCCUGUUGUGCUCCAUCACGGAGAACGUUCCCAAGAAUUGCAGCUGACCUACGUUGUGGUUCGGAGUCCAUCGUUUGCUUUCCAGUGUAGUUAUUUUUCCGCCUAGAUCUAUCUGAGUAUUUGCUCCGUCGAGUUUCAGGGGAGCCAUGUUGCGGUAGGGUUGCACCUGAGCCAUCGUGCGGCCGCCGGAGACUUGUCAAAGCUGUAGGUUUAGGAUAGGUUUUUGUGGAGGUGGUGGUGGCAGAUGUGGUGGCGGUGGCUCCAUUUAUAGACUCGGAAAUGAUGCUUAUGAUGAUGACGGAAAAUGCCCUUCAACCUUCUUGGAGCUUGAGGAAUACGAAUCUAGGGUUUCCGGCAGAGGAAGACAUCUCUGAAAAUUGACGUUGAUAUUAUCCAUUUUGCAUUUGUAGGCAUAGGAGACAAGGAAAAAAUAAAAUAAAUUAAAAUUUCUAAAUAGUUAAAAAAAAAAUUGUUAAAAUGGAAAGUAUAGCAAACCAUUAAAUGUUUCUUUUACCAUUUAUCCUGUGAGCACUAACAUUAAUUUUUAUUUUAAAAAGUAAAUUAAAAUAUUAAAUACAUUUGGUAAUUAAAUAAAUAUUUAUUUCCUACUUUAAAAUGGAAAACAUAAAACAAUAUUUGUACUAAUUAGCAAAAUACAUCUAAUGUCCACGGAGAUAUCCUUUUGGAAGAAAUGAGGGAAUACAUUUAGUGCAUUAUUAGAUGGUGGGCCUCGAGGAUAUACUCUCACAUAAAGGAAUAAAUAGAAAAAUUGACGGUUUAGAAUUUUACAUCUCUACGUUACUUUUUCAAGAUUGACAUGGGUGAUUGAUAGAAUAUUUUUUGUGAUUGAUAUUGAACAGCGGAAUCAAUUGUCCAUUUUUAUUCUUUUUUUUUUUUUUUGGGGACAACACGAUCAAUUACCCAUUUUUUUUUUAUCUUUAUGCUUGUCAUAGGUUAUCUUUGAUUCUAAAAAGUAGUAAAAGAAAAAAAGAAAAAAAAAAAAAAAAUGAGUUUGAAGUAGUAUACGAAAAUAAUUUAUAUAUAUAUAUAUAUAUAUAUAUAUUGUCAAGUUUUUUGGAAACUAAAUAGAGCUUUAAGAAUUGUUAGUUCCUAAUCUCAUUAAAUUUUUAUAUUUUUUAUUAAUUAAUGUAGAAUAAUAGAGUUUUUUUUUCUUUUUAACGUAAAACACCUAAAUCAAUUCUUCUUAUUUUGCUAUAAUAUGGAGAAGGUUAAAUUAUGGUGUAAAUAGCCUCUGAAGAGUUAUUAAUUUUUUUUAAGUCAUCUUAAGUCAUUCCUCAAUUUUUCUGUCAUAUUAUAAUAGAAAAUUCCCAUUACGGUGUAAAUACCACCCUCCUAUAAUAGAAUUCCUUGUCAUCUUAAGUCAUUCCAAUCUCAUGAUCUAGCUCAUAUGUUUUCAAAAACAGGGAGAACUCCUUAAUGCAAUUUUUAAAUUUUCACUUCAUGUGCAUCAUAAAUUAUUUUUAAAUAAUUCUAAACCUCCACAAUUUGGUGUGUAAGAAUCUUUGAUUUAGAGUGUAUUUAGUAGUGUUUCUCUUAUAAAAUAUAAGAUAAAUUUCUUUAUAAUUCUAGUUUUAUUUUAUAUAUUCAAUAUAUUUCUCAUAAAUCCACCAUCUUAUUUCUAUGUUUUAAUCUUAAUUAACAUAAUUUAAUUAUAAAUAAUAAAUAAAUUACAUAAACUUUACUCUAAAAGUAUUUCAUAAAUAAUAAAUAAUAAUUUUAAAAAGGGUGAAUUAAUUAAUUUUCUUCAUCUAAUAUAUAUUUUUUUUUAAUGAAAACUAUUUAGAGUAUGUUAGGUUCUUGGAAAAUACAAGGAAAAGGAAAAAUACUUUUAAGAAAAAUUAUUCUCCUAUUUUUGGAAACAAAGAAAAGAGAUAGAAAAAAAAAAGUAUUAUGAAAAGUUUUUAAACAUUUUCCUAAAUGAAAUGAAAAUUUGGAAGUACGUACAUUUGUCAACAAUUUUAAUUUUUUUUUCUAUUUUUUUUUCUAAUUAUUUUUUUCAAUGUUUAUGACAACUAUAGUAUUUUUUUAUUUAAUAUAUAAUAAAAUAAAUAAAUAAAAAUAAAAAUGUAUUCAAACAGCACCUCAAGCAAAAUUUAACUUCAAUUUAACUUAAAGUGCAUAUAGUAAAACUUAAUACUUUUUACUUAAUGAUUCAAAUGAACUUUUAAGUUAAAUUUUUUUAAGGGUAUUCAAUAAAACUUAAUAUUUAGUUUUUAAUUUAAAUAUUAAAAUUAUUUUAUAAAAUUAAAUUUUUUUCUAAAUCAUCAAAGUGACAUAUUUGUCUUUGUUAAUUUUAACUAUUAUGUAUAUUUUUACUAAUCUUAAAUAAUAAAUUUAUUUAUUAAAUAUUUAUAUUUAAAGUAUUGUAAAAGCAUGCUAUUAUUAUAAAGGGAUUCAAGGUAAAUUACUUAGAAUUCAACCUUAUUCUAAACACUUAAGAUGAAACUUGAGAAGUUAGUGGCCUUAUGUGAUUCUUAAAACCUGUUACCACCCUUAGUUGAAUAACUAACUAAGAGUGGAUUCACAUAGAAAGAGAUUUUUUUAAAGAUGAAAAAUAGAAAAAUGCAUAAGCCUAUUCAUGCUUAUCCAAGAGGAAAAAAAUAAGUAAAUAAAUAAGUGAAUUCCAAUUCUUAAUUAGGUUGAGGGAAUGUAGUCUUUUGAUAGCCAUGACUUAGAGGUAAGAAAUUUUGAGUCCUUGAACGAACGAGUGGUAAAGGUCAAAGUUUGAAAGGAUUGAUGGAAUGAGUAGUAAAGGAGGUUUAAAAGGAUUAAGAUAAAUACUAAAUAUCUUUUCAUGGGUUUAGUUUGAUUUGCAAUCGGUUUCCUCAAUAGGGAGGAAAAUGAAAUAACUUGACUUUUUCAACUAAGGGAUUCAAGCGCUAAAUUAGUUUAGCGAGUAAAUGGAUGAGCCAAUGCAAUCGAGAAGGUGGAAUUGGUUACCCUCAAUGUGGUGUUUGGCUUCAAUUCAGUUGAAGGGGUUUAAGUUUGAUUUCAUAUACCUUGGAGCGAGUUGCAUUACCAUAGGAAUGUAUAGUUGAUUUUCUAUAACUUAGUAAAUUGAUAUAUAUUGAUAAUAAAUAACUUUGAGUGUUAAAAAAUCAUAAAUUUUAAGAAUCUUGUUUUAUUUAUGAUUAAAGUAUUUUAGAUAGAGUAAUAAUUUGAAUUUCUCAAACACAUGGAUUGUAUUUUUAUUAUGCCCAUUAUUCUCUUUUAUUGUUAAGGAGUAGUAAUGUUCAAAUUAAAGCAAGUGAUUAAAACUAUUGAAAAAAAAAAGGUAUUUUCACACUUAAAACCUAGAUUUUAUCAUGAAUUGAGUAUUAAUAAUAUACUUUGAACUUGAAUUCAUGCGGCAUUCCAUUUUAGAGUUAAUUUGUUUAUUUAAGUGAAAAAAUAAAGUAAAAGAAGGAAAAUACAUAUUUUGGAUGAAUUUCAAGAGAAGAAGGAUACAUAAGGUUGAUGAAAGCAACAUGAGAGCCAGAACAUUCCAUUGAUGUCUAAACAGCUAGUAGAAGGAGACAGUGUCUUAGACAUUUGGUUAUGAGGACUAAGAAGGUAAACGAUUAUUUAGAAUGACUACAAAGCAAAAUAAUCAAUCAUUACAAGGGAGAAAAUCAAUUGACCUAUGGAGAAUGAUUAAUUGUCCUAGGUAAAUGUUCCUUAGAAAAUAAUGGAAGUUAUUACUUAAAAAGAGAGGAUGAUUAAUUAUCCUAAGGAAGGCUUGAUCAACUGCCUUCAUUUGAAAAACAUGCGAUUGAACAUCCCAUGCACAAAAACCUUAAUUGUCCCUUGAAUGUCGUAUAUUAUUGAAGAAUAUGAUCACAAUGAUAUCUCAUAGACACAUGGUUAUCAAGAGUUCCUUUUCAGCUAAUGAGUACAUCCAUUUCGUGGAUCAUGGGAUAGAGUGGGGCUAGAGAAUAUUCUACCACAUCAACAAUGGACAAAAGAAUUGCCCUUUCUAUCAUGUUAUAUUUAUAUGCUUCUUGAUAAUUGAUAUAGACACCAAAAUCAAUUAUCCAUCUUUUUAUUGAUGCAAGACAAUAGAAUUUAUUUUCCUUUUUUUUUUUCCAUUUUAUCACCUAAAGAAUAAAAGAAUUGUCGGUUUCUAAUCUUAUAUGCUCCAUUAUUAUGAUUGAUAUCACAAAAGAAUCAACUAUCAAUUUUUAAGCUCUUUUUUUUGUAAUUGACAUACAACAUAAAGUAAUGAGAGAAAAGAAAAAAUAAAUUUCUAAAUAAUUCGGAUAAUAACUAAAACAGUAAGGACACUGUACCAUGAAAUGCUACAUUGAUAUUAUGAGGCUUAUGUGCACGUUGGAGAUAAAUGGUGGUCAUUAAAAACAAUAAAAAUAAAGUGAAAAAUAAUUAAUUUUAUUUCAAAUUAAAAUUUUGAAAUUCAUCCUUUUGCUAUGUAUUUUAAUUUUUUUUAGAGUUUAAAAUAUAUAUAUAUAUAUAUAUAUAUAUAUAUAGAGAGAGAGAGAGAGAGAGAGAGAGAGAGAGAGAGAGAAGACUUAAAAAUAGGACACAAUUUUUAAUUUUUUUACUUUUUAUAGUAUGAUUACAAAAAUGUUUUUGUUCUUUUAAACAAUAAAAUUACAAUGAUCAAACAUACAUAAAAAAGAAUUUAUGCAUUUUAGCCCUUUUAAGUCUAGUAUAUGAUGCCAGGUGGGAGUGGUGGGGCUUCAAAAUAUUCACUGAGAAAUGGAUAGAAGGAUUGUCUAUUUCUAAUUUUUGAUAGAUUUCAAGAUUCUUUUUGUGAUUGAUGUAAUAUAAGAGAAUCAAUAAAAAGAAUUGUUUGUUUGUAAUCUUGUCACGCUUUCUUCCUCUCUUUUCUAGAAGUGCAAAAGGAAUCAAUUGUCUAUUUUUAUGCUCCUUCUCCACAAUUGAUGUGAAAAAUCAUAAUCAACUAUUGAAGAAGUAUUUAUAUAAGAAAUGAAGUCUAUCCUACGAAAAAAUAAAGAAUAUGAGGAAAAAAAUGUAAAUAAGUAAACAAUAUAAAUUAAAUAAAAAAAAUAUAGAAAACUUAACAACCAAAACAAUCAAUAUCAAGCCAUCCAUAUUUUUCAUUUUAAUACAAACAUGAAGAUCCUUCUAUUUUAGUCACGAGUACUCAUACUAUAAAUGUGAAAUUUAAUGACAAAUUUUUUUUAUUCAUGACUAAAAUUUCAUUAAUAAUUAUGAAUGUUACAUUGUAAAAGAAAAUUUUUGUCGUAAAAUAUUUUAUCAUUAAACUUUUGCUUACAAAACUAUUUUUUGUUAUUAAAAUUUGUCACGAAAAAAUUAGCGUCAAAAGUUGCCACUCCCCCAUAUGGCCAAAAAAAAUUAUGAUGAAAUGCAUAUAUUUAUGAUGAAAUUAUUUGUUAUUAAUUUUCAUUUUUCAGUAAUAAACAAUUUUUGUCAUCAAUGACAAAAUAUGCAUAUUUGUGAUGAAGUUAUUUGUCACUAACUUUCAGUUUCCAUUAAUGAAUAUUUUUUGUCACCAAAUCCUCAACCAUUUUUUGGAAAAUAUAUUUAGUGCCUAUAAUUAUUUCAGUUGCCAUAAAGAAACAAUUUCAUUUUCGAUACAAAACAUACAUUAUAACUUUUGGACUUUGGAGUUACAGUAUGAUUCCUUUAUUUGGAUCUAGGUCAAUGUAAAGAUGAGUGGCCCAAUUGUGAAAACCAUCCAAUUGGCCCACUAUGAGAGGAAAAAUGGGCCAAGAAAUCAAUGGGCCAAUAAAGUUUUAAAAUUUUGCAUCUAGAUUCAACUAGAGUAGCCCAACCCAAAUUCAUCUAAUGAAACUCAAAAGUAAUAUAUAUUCAUUGCCUAUAAGAUUUGAAUCCAAGUAAAAACAAGCUUAUUAAGUUUGGAUCGAGUCCAACUUGAAUAAAUAAUCUUUAAAUUCAGGGUGAGUUUGGAUUGAUCAUUAAUUCUAUUUAAUUAAUACUAAUAAAAUCGAAUUAUACAUAAGUAUAUGAUUAUUUUAACACAAAUAGGUAUGUUUAUAAGGGAAAAACCCUAAUGGAUUGAAAGAUAAAUGAAAAAUAUUUUUAAAAUGGGUUGAAUAAUCAUUUAUUAGAAAACUCCAAUUUAUAAAAUUUUAAAACAAAAGAAAAAAAAUAGUUUCACAUAUAACGUUUUUAAGGAACACUCGAGAGCUCCCAAUAUUUUUAAUUUUUUCAAGCAUUAUCAACUUGUUUUUUCAAAAGUAAAUAUUCGCACAUCUACGUACUUUUUAUCUCAUCACUAAACACACUAAAAUGUCUUAUAUACUCCCUCAUUUUCCCACUUUAUGUUCGUACCAUCAAUAUAACUUAACCUUAAAAGUCGAAAAGUAUAUUAGUCAAAAAAAUAUAUACAAAAAUACAUAGUUUUAUAUCAAUGAUAUUUGAAACAAAAUUAUCAACUUAUUUUUCAUCAAAUCUAACCCACAAAACCCUCUUGAAUGUAUAAUUUUCUCCUUAUUCCAGAAGCUUGAAUUGAUCAAAUAUAAAAAUAUUGGGAUGGGUUUGCAACUUGGUCUCCAUAGAAAAAAAAAUGUCCAUAAAUUUGAAAAAAGAAAAAUGUAAAUUCCUCUAUCAUUGACUAUUUUCAUCAUACCAAGAAGGAAGGUGCACGCCAAAGUUCCCUUCAUAUCCAUCAGCUUCUUUGGAGUCAAGCAAGACCCUCCAAAGAUCCAGUAGUUAAAAGUAGUUAAGACACUGAAAGAUGCAUUUACUUUUGAAAAAACAGUCUGAUCUUUCUAUCGUUGAAAACAAUGUUUAAAGUUGAAUCACAACAUUCAAAAAUAUGUAUAUAAAACUCUUACGCGUGAAUCUUACGCCUUGCGUUAUAAUUUAUUGGGCUUUUAAAAAAAAAUGAGAUUUUUUUUUUUUUCUCUACCAAGAAUAGAUAAUAUAAUUUCCAAAGCGAACCACUAAAAAUAAAAGUUGUAUCGUCGUUGAUAAUUGUUUUUUUAAAGGGUUUUUUGUUCUCCAAACCAAAAAAAAAUAGAAAAACACGUUUAACAGCCAAAAAUUAUUUUUUAUUUUUUGUUUUUAAAAACAAAAAAUUUAAUGUUUUCAAACAAUAUCUUUUAAUUAUAUUUUAUUUUUUUCACUUAAUUUUUUAAAAUUAUUUUAAAAAAUAAUUAUAUAAAUAUAUAGAAUGAUUAAAAAUAAAACACUAAACAUAAAAAUUAUUUUUAAAACAUGUUUAAAAAUAUUAAAAACAAGUUAAAAAUGUUUUAUAUUUCCAAGCAGAUCUUUGUUUUAUAAAAUAUCAUAAAAUAGUUUUCAAAAACUAUUCUUAAAAAUUGUUUUCCAAACUGUUUUCAAAAACUAUUAUCAAACAAACCCAUAAUCUCCAACAUGUCCUUUAUUUUAAUAUUUUUAAUGUAUAAAUUUAGUUAUAUAUCCUCAAUUAACCCCUUUUUUCCUCUUAUUUGUUUCUAGACUAAGAAAUAUAAUUUAAUUAUUUACAAAAAUAUGUUAUAUACUUGUAAAUACUUGAUCCGCCAUUACCUACUCUAAUAUAUGAGCUUUUAAGGCUUUGUUUUGUAACUAUUUUCAAAACUAAUUCUCAAAAAUAAUUUUUGAGAAUAAUUUUUAAAAUUGUUUUCUAAUGUUUUAUACAACAGAUGUUUGUAUGAAAAUUGAAAUAUUUUUAACUCAUUUUCUAUGUUUAAAAAUAAAAUUUAUAUGUAAUAUUUUAUUUUCAAUUAUUCUAUAAAUUAUGUUUUAAAACAUUUAUCCGAAAAAAAAUUUUAAAAAAUUAAAAGACGUUGUCUUAAAACAUCGUGUUUUUCUUAGUUUUGAAAACAAAAUACUAUUAUCUGCUUUUUGUUUUGUGAUUAUCAAAUAUAUUUUUUUAUUUUUUUAUUUUUUGUUAAAAAAAUAUAAACGAAAACAGUUAUCUAUGGUCUAAGUUUUACACCACAUGUGAGAAAAUCAUCCAUAGUCAGGAUGAUUCUCAUUGAUUGAAAACAAAAAACAAAAAUAAAUAAAUAAAAAGGAAAGAAAAACAUAAGGAAUUGACCAUAAAGCUUAAUUAUUCCUUCUUUAAACUUUAAUUAAUUAAGCAAUUAAGAUUAAAAUAAAGCUGACUUUGAAUUUUAGUCAUUAAUUAUUUUGUUUCAAGGAUAGGUUGUCUUUUGUGCUAAUGUCAGUGUGAAUUGUUUCGUAUACACUAUACAUAUAUCGGCUGAAGUUGGGAGGAAGCUGCACCUUUGAGGGCUAGACGUAUAAAUUUAGAAGAAGAGAGAAGAAGAUUUUUAGGGCACACAGUCUUGGUAAUAUCAACAGACCUCAAGCCUAGUUUUCUUAAACAAGACCAUGAAGGUAUGUAUGAUGAAGGCUAAAUUGGAAAUUUUCAAGUGAAAAAUCUGAGAUGAUUCAACCUUGGUAUAUAUUUGACUUGAUGCAGCAAAAGGUGGUGAUCAGUGUCUCCUUCAAUGGCAACAAGAAUUGUCAGUCCAAAGCCUUGAAGAUUGCAGCUGGUUUUUCAGGUAUUUAAUUUUCUCCUCAUAAUUUUUUGCAUCAGUAAUCAUUAAUCACCAAUUUGUGUGUUCAUUUUUUAAAUACAGUUCAAAUUUAACCAAAUUUAAAUUGGGUAUCGACAAAGAGUUCAAUAAAAUUUUAAAAAUCUAAAAAAUUACUUAAAAUGAUUUGUGUCGGUAUUUGAUAAGUCUCUUGUGAUAAAAAUUACUUUUUUGUAACUUUUUGGGUAAAUUCUAAAAUUAAAAAUCAUUUUAAAAUUUUAAAGAUUAGUUUAAAAUGAUUUUUUGGGUUGGUAUUUAAUAAAUUCUCCUUAUCAAUAUUAUUAUUAUUAUUAUUAUUAUUAUUAUUAUUAAAAGUACUUUAUAUUUAUAUGGUGAAAAAGAGAAAAAAUAAAAAUAAAGACAAGAUAGAAGGAUGACUAGCAGGAGAAAGAAAGAAAGGAAAAGAAUUUGAUCCUUUCACUAUAAGUUGGGCCAGGCCUGCCUAAGGAUUUUGGGCUAAAGUCCAAUCCCACCCAAGCCAACAUGAUCAAUUCCUUUAGGGUAAAAAUUGGGCUGAUUUUUUAAACACAAACCCAAUCCACCAAACCACUAAAAUGCAUCUCAAAAUAUGAUAUGGAAGGAAAAUCCCUGAAUUAAGACUAGCUACAAUUUUGCCAAAUGCUUAGGCUUAGAAUUAAGGUGGUGUUUGUUUUUUUACUUAAUUCUAAAUAGAACCUUAAUGCUUAAUAGUAUUAAAUAUUAUGUUGUUUGUUUUUGUAGUAUUUUAUUUCUAUUAAGUAUUAAAAAGUAAAAAAAAUCAUUGUGUUAUUUUUUCUAUUUAGAAAAAGUCACAUAUUUUGGUUUUUUCUAUUUAGUAAAAAGUUUAUAAUAAGUCAUGAAAAAGUAAAAAAACAAACAACCUAAAUUCUAAAACUAAAUGGUUUUCAACAAAAAGCCAAAAAAACAAACACCACCUAAGUCUGACUUAGAAAUCAACAUUUUAGCUUACCAAAGCCCAAAGUUUCACCUGUAUCAUGGAUCCAAGCCAAGAGGGCCUACCCUCUUCACAUAUCUAAAUAGUAGGAAAUGGGAAUUAACUUUUUAACCUAGACCAACUCACAUGAGCCAAGAGCAAUCCAAACCCAACUUUAAUCUAGGCUAAGCUUACUUCUUUAUUAAGUUAAGACUUAAGACUCAAGUAAAAUCGCAAGAUUCUAAUGGUUAUUCAUGAUGUGAUAGGUGUUAACUCUACAGCAUUAGAAGGUGAGGACAAGAAUCAAAUUGUUGUUGUAGGUGAGAACAUCGAUGUGAUUGAGCUCGUAAAGAAGUUGAAGAAGAAGGUUGGAUUCUCUACACUCAAUAGUGUGACUCUGGUGGAUGGAGAAGAAAAAGAGGAGGACGAAGAAGAGAAGCCUAUUGAGUGGCCACACCAUCAAGUGGGCAUACCACAUUAUUACCUCUAUGAUGUUCCUUUAAAUCGCUCAAACGACUGUAGUAUCCUCUAAAAGAUAGAGAAGUUACUACAACAUUAUGUAACAAUAAAUUACCUAUAAAGGAAUAUUAUCUUAAGUAAUUAUCAUUUGCCAUUUAGAAAGUCAAAAACCUAAGUUCAUCGAGAUCUAUAUCUUAGAAAAUAAAAAUAAAUAUUGCUAAAGGUCAUAUUUCAAAGUAUAGAAGUAUAAAUUUGUUAGUUCAAUCUUAGGGUGUAACUUGGAAAGAUUGGCCCAAUGUAACUCGAAUCCAAUCCAAUGUUUGGGUGAGGUUAAGUAAACAUUUUUAAUAAUCGGGUUGAUCUCAAGUUGAAUUUCUUCAAUUUGAGCUUAAUUUGGAUGUGAUUGAGUUAGGACUCAAGCCAAAAACUUCCUCGCUCUUUGAAAAUUGCAUCUUUUGGUAAUGCACCACAUACAUCUAAGCCAAUACAAAUCAAGAAGCAAACUGUUGAAUCCACAUUGGUAGCAUCACUAUUUGUUGAAUCCACAUUGGUAGCAUCACUAUUUGUCUAACAACAACUUCAAGACAUGAUAACUUACAUUAUCAUAAUGCAAUAUGUCGCACACUUACAAAGUACACUCAUGUAUUAUAAGCUUUACCCCAAGAUGAUUGAUAACCCACAUACGCAUACGAGUUAUCAACCUCCAAAGUUUCAAUUAUUCGAUGAAAAGGGAAACUCAAAGCAAUACGCUGUCUAUUUCAUCAAAACUUGCAAUAAUGCAGAAAGCUCGGACCAAGGUUCAAACAAUCCAAACUUAACCUAAACAUGAUUUAAUAUUUUUAAAUAAUAUUCUUUUUUUUUUAAUUUUUAAGAAAAGUAUAAAAUUAGAAUUAUAUCAUUUUUUAUUUUUUAGAAAAAUAUAUAAGUUUUUUUUUUCUUGAUGCUAAUUUGAAUUUUUUUCUUAUUUAUUAUUUAACUUUUGGUAUAAAUAGAUAUAAAAAAAUGUAAAAUAAAAAACACAAUACAGGCCAGUUUAACUCAACUAACUGAAACUCAACCCAAAUAUAGGAAAAUGAGAUUAAAUUAGACUUGAAUUGAGUAGCUCAAAUUAGAUAUCAGAUUUUGCUGAAAUCGGAUAUAUUGUUUCUUAAUUCGGGUUAGACUUGAUAUAACAUCCACCCGACGAAGUAGCAAAAUUAGCCCCAAUUCCAUCUUAUCCCACAAAAUUAAUCUUCUUUCUCUACAAUCUUUGAAGUCAAACUCCUCGCUAGGUUAUUGAUCACAUCAACAGCAGAUAAAAGUGAUCUAAUUCCUCCCAUCUAAGAAAUAAUUCCAGCUUUUUAUUGAUUUACAGUCCUUAAAGCUUAUAAUUUUAAGCUGCUUCAAUCCACAAAAGAAGGGGAAAAACCAUUUGCUGUGCCAAAAUAUUAUUUGAUAAUCCAAAACACCAAAAUCCAAAAUUUUCCAUCAGCAUUUCCGCAAAUUACAAACCACAUUCUUUGGAAGCCUUCAGACGGGUUGAAAGGAAGUGAGCUGCUUGGUGCCAUCCAGCUUCUCCCAAACAACCGCCUCGUACUUCUUCGAUGCGGCGCCGUUCUUGGCCAUCACCGUUAGCCGGUAGUUGGUGCCGGCGACGACCUGAGUCUGGCCCUUUAUCACGCUCUGGAACUUCAGCUUCGUCGCGGUCAACUUGUUGUGCGCCUCCACCGCGAACUUCCCGAUCUCUUGCACGUGAGGGUUCUUCACGUCCUCGAUCGGGCUCCAGCCGCCGAGAAGAGCAUCGGAGGCUACUGCGACGAGGAGGAGCGAAGCCAGGAGGAGAGAAAGACGGUAUUGCCCCCGCGCCAUCGCCGUUGGGUUUCUUUCUGAAGCAGUGUGAAGCGGAGGUAUGGUAGUCGGUUGGAUUUAUAGCCGGAGGCCCAUUAAAGAAGUGGGGCCCAUUUUGUUGGGUUCCCAAUGUGGAGAAAGAUAAGUGGUCCAGUUGUGCAGCCCCCGCUGACCACCCAAGUCCUCCCUAAAGGAAGUGGAAAAUAUCGUAGUAAUUUCUUAACAAAGCCGUUUCGUAAGAAACAUCAUCCAGGGCAAGAAAAAGAAAAAUGCUUUCCUCAGGAUACUUCCUUGUUAAGCUCUUUUUAAAGACCAAAGCUUUAUUAAAAGGACCCCAUUUUUAUUUUUUUAUUUUUUUUUAUUAAAAGAAUAAAAAAGCCAUAUCUAAACAAGAAAUUCAAGGACACCAAAUCCGGUGAAUUAUUACAAAUAUAUAGGAGGUUAGAAAUUAAGAUUUGAGUCCGAAAGAUUAGACCAGAACAGGCUCAAAGAAGGUAAGGUUCUUGAAGUUCUCCCAUGGUUUCUCCCACACAUAAGCUUUAUACAUCUUUGGCAGCUCACUUUCAAGUGCUUGAAUCACCAUCCUAACAUUCAGGCCUUCGGCAAUCUGCGCUUGAGCCUGAAACACCGCAUAGAAAAACAGGCUGGAGGCGGUGGAGUUGUUGUAUGCCAGCACUGCAAACAUGCCUAAAUCUUGAACGUGAGUGUUGUUGAUCACGUCCGGAAUCUCAUUCCAUCCACCCGCUGUCACUGGGGCUGCUGCAUUUGCACUUAAAAUGAUGAAGACGAAGACACAGAAGAGCCGGCACAAGAACUGACUUUGAAGUUCCAUUUUUUUUUUUUUCUUUUUGGUGUUUGGAGCUGCCCAAUCUGAGAUUUUAAAUGGGAUUCUUGAUAUAAUAUGAAUAGAUUUAUGCCUAUAGUCAUAAAUUUCAUAUCAAUCAUUUAUCAUCUCUGCAUGAAAUUAUGAAUCAUAAGUAUGACUUUUUUUUGUGCAGAGAAUUAUGACAGUAGUAAAUGUGUGAGAAACUAAAUGGGCAUUUAAAAGGAUGAAAGGCCGUGUACUGUGCUGCAGAAAACUGAAUAGGUAGAUUACAGUUGCACCCACAAAGACUUUCCUUUCUCCAUUUUACUUCUAUGCUGUGUAAAUGACACAGCCAUAAAGCUUCUGUACUAUAUUUAAAGAGGAACAGAGGAGUUUCUGGUCAAGGAGUAAUAUGCCUAAAGGAGAUGAUAUGUAAUUAACAUGUAUAUGCAACUUAAACCUGAAUUUUUCGAGGUCUGAUUGGUUACUUGAAAGUGUCCUAGAAUCUGUUCGCUUGCUAUUGAGGAAGGAGGCCAUUGCAUAUGUUUCUCUGCAUCUUGGAUACAGCAAGAGAUGACCAGCAAACUGAGCUAAAUACCGACAAAUGGAGGUCUAGUUUGAUAAUUUUAUCAUCCCAUUGUUGAAUGACAGUUGACCAUACGAAGAACCAGUACGUAGGGCUCACCUUGGUGCUGAUUUUCAACAAUUUGCUUAAGUGGAUGUAGACUCAAAAUGAAAAUUGCUUUCAAAGUUGUUAUUUUAUCAAUAAUGGCAUGAACUUUUAAUAUUGAUGAUCAGAAACAAAGUAUGAAGGCUAACAAAUCCACCAUGGGAAGAAUCAUUAGAUAAAUAAACAAUUGCCAUAGGAGAAAAGCAUAUGCCUUUUUCCCUUUCAUGAUUCUUGUCACAGACGAUUUCUUUUCCUUUCCUUAUUACUAUACAAUAAGGCUACUAAUAUGCCAAGAGCCAAUGCCUUGUCAUGGUAGCGGCCGAUCCUAUGCAUUUCACCUUGUUUGUAGAGAAUUUGCAAACUGGUUGCAGGGAUUUGAAUGGUGUCACAUUUCUUCGUUUGUCCCAAAAACAUAUGCUCCUGCAAGGGACAACAUUAGUCAUUAAACAUAUAUGAUGAAUCAAAAUUCCUCCUAAUUAAGGAAAAAAUUUGUUUACCGAGUGAAGGCAUUAGAAGGGAUAAUGCAGCAAUUCCAGCAAUCUUAAGAGGCACUCCUGUCUUGAUCAUAUCUUUGAUUUCAAUGUGUCCUGUUGUGAACCCGACGACAUUCGAAGGAGUUCCAGUGGGCAGCAAGUAAGAAAACUGUGCUCCAAUGGCUCCAGGAACCAUGAGAAGGAGCGGGUGGACGUGCAUGGUUUGGGCUACUUGGAUGAGAAGGGGAACAAGGAGUGUUGUUGUGGAAUUGUUUGAGGUGAACUCAGUAACCGUACUACUUAUGAGACAGACGGCAGGCGCAAUGACCAAGUAGGGAGCGUGUUCCAGGAAAGUCAAGGCCUUUGACAACACAUCAGCCAGGCCACUUGACCGGACUCCGGCAGCUAUGGCAAAGCCAGCGCCUAGUAGCAAUACGAUGUUCCAUGGCAGCUUCUUGCAUUUGUUCCAGUCCAUCAGCUUCUCCCCCUUUUGUUUCUUGUUUGGAAUUAUGAACAAUAAGGUUGCCAUCAUCACCUACACAUUGGAUCAAACUCAGUCAUGUAGAAGUCCUUAUUUGUUGAGAGAUUUCAAUGGAAAUAGCAUUUUCUUAAAGACGAUUCUCACACUGGCAGUCCCAUCGCCUACACGACCAUUGAAGAGAGCUCCCCAUCCAGGAACAUCAUCUGUUAUGCUCCUUGUCAUCCAUAAGACUAUUAGCAUCUGCACCAACCCUCAAGGAUUAAUCUACAGACAUUUAUGUCCCUUUGGCUAAAAAGAAAAUUUUUUUAAGUCCUACUCUUUUAAAAUAAAAAAAUAUAUAUAUUAAACUAUGUGCAAAGUAUUAUUGUUAAUUUAUUUGUUUUCAAUUGUUACCAAACAUUGAAACGGAGAUAAAUACUGAUUUCAACCUUACAUUUUUAAAUGCAUCCAAAUACAAAGAUUGAAAUCACCGCCUAAUUUAUUCCUAUUUAAGGAGAUAAGGGAAUGAAAACAAAAUAUUCAUUUUCAUUCCUCAUUUUCUAGAUCAGGCUUUAUUAGAAUCUAUUCCCAUUACUUAGAAGGUUAUGGCACUUGUCUGCUUACCGAAAACACAGCCAACACCAUCUUUUCAGCAAAAGCCAUUGGACCUGUCCACACAUGUAUAUGUAUAGGUAAAGAGGCUGAAGAUUUUCUACAAUUGGGUGUAGGAAGUGGUAAAUUGAAGUAUUGAGUAUCAAAAUUUUGGGAGUUUACCCAACAUUUGAAGCUCUCUUCUGAGACUGGAUUUGUCCAAAUAAGCAGACAGAGCAGGACCUGCACCCCUGGAGCAGUACAAGCAGCAGAGAAUAGCCCACAAGGCAAAGAAAACCAGCAAAGCCAAAGGGAAGCCAAAGAAGAACCAUGUAUUAAAGCUGAUGGGGUCUGCCUCUGGGAAGUAGCUCUUCCACAUUCCUACCAAUAUGAGAUUGACGCCAGUACCGGUGAGAGUGCUCAUUCCCCCAACUGCAGCAGAGUAUAACACCCCAAGCACCACUGCUCUGCAGAAUUUAUCCACAUGGGGAGAUCGAGUUGGACCUGAUGGUAGCCUCUGUAAGAUACCAGUGGCUACGGGCAUCAUCAUCAGUGCUGCUGCAACAUUGUGCAUCCACAUACUCACAAAGGCUGUGGUGGCACAGAUGCCAAGGAGAAGCAAUGGGGGAUUCAGUGGAUCUCCACAAAAGAUCAAGGUAAUCUGCAUGGCCCACAUGUCCAUUUUUUUUUAAAUAAUUCACCCACAACUUUAGACUACUUUCAUAAUAGUCAAUUAUGAAGGUGGAGGUAUGUACUAUAUUCCCAUCAAAAGGUAAGCAACAAGCAUGCUUCAUAAUAACCAAAAAAACUCAAAUUUGUUAAGAAAUUAUAUAAUCAACUCCAACCCAUAAAACCCAUCUGAAAGAAGAGAUAAGAAAUCUAAAAUUUAUAUGGGAUUUUUAUGGAUCUAACAUUUAUGACAGAGACUAUGAGAAGAUGAUGCGGAAAAGAGAAGAAAUGUAAUGGGCUUAUCUCAAAAAUUGUGUGGAAACUCACAUUGAGGGCCAAUCUUCUAUGGAUGUUGUAAUGCUCAACAGCAAGAGCAAGUAUGAAGCUUCCAAGAACAAGGGAAAUCACAUCAUCCAUGUAGGAGUGAGCAACAUCAUCUGCGGAAGCGAUUCCAAAGAGGGGAAAGAGGAAGAGAGGAGACAUGGAGGUGAUGGGCAUAGGCACAGCUUCAGUGAUCCACCAAGCAAACAUCCAAGCAAGAACAGCCAACAUGUUCCUGCUGGUCACAGGGCCAUCAAGCUUCACAAAAAGGCAGAUGAGGGUGCAGAGCAGAGGCCCCAAGAGGAUGAAGAAGCUCUUGGGUGUGAAAAUGGACAUGAGAGACGCCCCAUUUGAGGUCUCCAUUGUGGUCGCCUGGACUGGAAGCAGUGGAGCUUUGAGGUCAUCAGAAACCCCAUUCGUGUUAUGCUCACUAUUCAUUUUGCAUAGAAGGAUGGUGAACAAGAAGAAGAAGAUGGUAUUUGUAUGUAAUGUUUACCGGGGGAUAACGUUGAUAUAUAUGGGCUCUGGUUUUUGAAGAUGGAGAUGAAUUAAAUGGACGAAAUAAUCUUUUCUUUUCCUUUCCUUUUUUUUGCCCUUUUCUUUUUCUUUUCUAUGUCUUGUUUGGAGCCAAACUAAUCAAUGCUCUUUAUUUUCGUCAUCCCUUCUCCAUUAUUCAACUCCUCCAAUUAUCCAUCUAACUUGUGGUCCUUGUUUGGCUGUCAUUUUUGUUGCUUGGGAUUGAAUUUUUCUUAUUCUUGUUUUUUCUGCUCCCAAAAAUGAAAAACCUAAAAUAGAAUUUGAUAUAAUUAAUUUUAGUAAAACUCUAUCCUUUUAGUAUAUAAUUAAAUUUAAAUUUAUGAAUAAAAUUAAAUAAAUAAAUAAUAUUUACAUUUCAAUAAAGGAGAUGAUGGAAAAAUUUUAAAUAUAUAUAUAUAUAUAUAAAAAAUAAUACGGUUGUUAAGUAUACAAAUAUUCAAAAUUAGUUAUGGGGCAAAAUUGGAUAUAGACAGCAACCCAAAAAUUAGUCGUGUUCUAGCAAUGAGUGGUUGAUGGGGGUCCAGCUGGACAAGUUCCAUCAAUCAAUUAAAGUUAAUUUACUGCUGGAUGGCUCCGAUUGCUCCAAGCCCUAUGACGUGGAAGGGCUGGCGGCUAAUAGUGACGUGUCAUACAUUAGUCUGACUCAAACGGCCCAGAGAUAUCGAUCCAACAAAUCAGCGCCAGACCCUUAGUUUUUUUUUUUUAAUCUUUUUUAAACUUAAAUAUGAUUUGAGAGUGACCAAAUUUAGUAUUAAUGAUGAGUCAUUCGUCAAGAUUAGGCUAAUCCAUUAGCAAAAUCGUUUACCAAAGAGUCAACGUCUCUAUAAUUAAGAAAGUUUAUUAAAAUUUUCUAAAUGAGAAAUUAAGAAUUACUAUAUUUAAGAGCCUCACAUGAGGUUGGGCUUUUAAAUGAAAAUUAAGAUCAUCAUAUUUAUUGACAUUAAUUUUAUAAAGUGUUUUUAAUAUUUUGAAUAUUUUAAAAAUAAAAAUUUUUAAUUGUUAAAAAUAUUAUAAAUAUUUUUUAAAAUUACUGUCAAACAUUCUAAAAGUGUUUUUUAUAAUAACUUUUUAUAAUAUUUUUAAUAUUUAUAAUAUGAUAAAAAAAAACUUAGAUGUUAAAAAUAUUAAAAAUGCUUCCUAAAAUCAUUAUCAUACAGGACUCUUAAUGUUAUCGCAGCACCUUAGCAGGCAUGGUGCAGGCUUAGCCUUCAUGGCAUGACCUUGAUUACUCAUUAUAUAACAAACUAAAAGAAAAAUUAUUUGAAAAUGGUGUCAUAAAAGAAUUGAAAAUUUUACGAUUGUUUUGAAAUUAUUGAAAGUUGUUUUUUUAAUAUGAAACUUUCAUAAUUUUUCAUAUCAAGCAUUCAUUAAAAUAAAAUAAAAAUGAAUAAAUUCAUAUUAAAAAUGUCUUUUGAAAAAAUAUUUUUAUAUAAAGCAUGGUUAAUUUUCAUUUAAAACGCUCCACUAUUUCUAUGUCAAAAACUAUAUUUUUAAAAGACAUACGAAGUAUGUAGAAGAUGUUUUUUUAAAAGAUAACUUUAAUGUUACCCUUUUUUGUUUUAAGAAAAUAAUUUUUUUUUUAUGAAAGUUGUUAUUUUAAAAAGCAAUCUCAGUGUAAAUUAAUUUUUUAUGAAAAUUGUUAUUCAUGAAAAGAGAAUGUAGAAAGUUGUCUUUUUACAUUAAGAUUAGGCAACGUGUCAAUUUUUAAGCAAGGAGGAGGGCUUUACUCCCCACUCCCCACAUAUUUCUCAUUUCAUAAUCGCAAUUGUGACACUGCCCAAAUGGGCUUGCUAAAAUAAUGAAGAUGUAUCCAAAUUGGCUUGCUAAAAUGAUGAAGAUGUAUCCAAAUUGGCUAUCUACUCUUUCAAGGACAAGACUAAGAAUGAAUAAAUAAAUAACCUUGGAGCCUACUCGACCUAGGUUUCCAUUAUCUUAUAAUUAAUUUUUUUUAAUAAAACUAACAUAUAAAAUUGUAAAAAUAUCUUUUAACUUAAGGAUAAUAGUUUUCAAAAACAGUUGUGAAGAACAAUCUUUGAGAGCAGUUUUUUAAAAUUAUUCUAUAAUAUUUUGUAAAAUAAAAGUCUAGUUAUAAACUUAAAAUAUUUUUAAAAUUAAAUAUAUUUAAAAAAUAAUUUUUAUUUUUAAUUAUUUUAUAUAUUUGUAUAAUUAUUUUUAAAAAAAAUUCUUAAAACACAAAUGAAAAUAGCAAAAAACAAAUAAAAUAUGUUUUUUAAAAUACCAUAUUUUUAUUUUUAAAAAUUAAAGAAAAAAUAGUUAUAAACAUGUUUUUCUUUUUUUCUAAAAACCAUAAAACUGCAGUCAAAAAAGUUUCCAAACAAGCCCAUAUCCUCCUUCCCCCACCAGAAUCCUUUCAGCAAGGUGAAGAAUAAAUUGAGGUGGGUGCAGAGGGAGAAAUAGUGGGUGUAUUAAGAACACCCAAACUAAAAUUUUCACCCCAUUUUGCCCUGUACAAGGUUCAAAAUUACAAGAUCCAUGUACCUAGGCUCACAACACGAGGAGGACAAAGUGGUCUUUAUGCAGCAGCAGUCUUGAUUCA
rnacentral:lncRNA from 1 species